GCUAUUUUGUCAGAUAAUAUGUACUAGGCUUAGGACCUAGUUAAAUAGAAUUUAAUUCUAUAAAUAGUA
rnacentral:tRNA from 1 species